rnacentral:lncRNA from 1 species
GUGUUGGGGUGGGAGUUACUGUAGCUUUCUCCUUAAAUCCUACAGCUCAUGAUUUGAGGUGGAGGCUACACUUCUCCAUAGCAAUGUGGUCAGUAGUGCUAUUUGUAAAUAUUUCUGGUUCUCCUCCUCUUGAGCUCAUGGUAGGAUUGUACUCUCCUCUCCUUUCUAAGCCAGUCAUGGGGUGAGUGGCUUGGCCAGCGAAAUUUGAGCAACUCACCAGCGUCACUUCAACAUUAUAAGGUAAAAAACAUACUUCAUAACGCCGCACUUAGAAAUAAGCACUAAUAGUUUAAUCACUUUUCUUUUUUACAUAAUAGUUCCAUGCUUACAUAAUGUUUUACAUGGGUGGUAUACUAUUGCAUUUGUAUCUUCAUGCCUUGCUUUUAAGGUUAUAUCACACAAGCAUUUUCCAACAUAUUGAAACGUUUUUGUUGCUUGCCAAAUGUUCAUUCAGGUAACUUGGCCAGAACAUAGAAGAGCAUCCUUUAGUGAUUUGACAUUUAAAAUCCUGAUAAUCCCGUGGAACAUUUCAGGGGCCAUCUUUGUGUAUAAAAUUUUCCUCGACUUAGUGCUACAGUCUGGGAUUUUAGUCUUGUACUCGGGGUGUUAAGCUUAGGUGUAUUCGCGUCAUAAGGCUCUUGAGACCUCUCACUGGUAGCUCUGGGAGAGGUUCUGUCUAUGUGUCUCCCACCAGCCUGGCUCUCAGUGUCUUUGGGUGCCAAGGGCAGUGGCCGCAGGGCAGCAAAUGCCAGCGUUCUCAGGAGGUCCUUCUCCAUCCCGUUGCAUGCAGCUUGGGUGCCGACUUCAGCGUCAUCAGAGCAACAGAGCACUGUCUUGUAGACUGGACCUGGUGUAUUAUUUCACUCAAAUUUGAUGCCCCCAAGGAAUUCACACAAGUCAAAAAAAUUUUCACAGAAACUGUUGCUUUCAGGUGUGCCAAACAUUCCAUGAACAGAAGAAAAUCCCUAAGAUAAUGACCCGCAGUAUGGGGAUUCUCCUUGGGCUCAUCGGAGGCCCAAGGUGACUGUCACUUCCAUAAACAUUUUGUUUCUCAUAAAGUAAAUCUUGGAUUACCAGUUUCCAAUCUUAAAAUGCAUAAUGUCUCAUUUUCAUUUAUUUCUCCUUUAUUGAAUACUUAAUACAUUCAAAUUAUUGAGAACUGCCAAUUACAUAAAAGUGGUAAAACUCAGGUAUGAAGCGUUUUAAGUUACAGGCCCAGUAUUCAACUGGUUGCCACAAACUGGCAAUGAUGGCUGCAUUAACAACUCUCCCCAAAGUCAGCCAUGCUCAUGGCUGGAUCCUAGGCCCCAGAGGCUCAGGCGUGGCAGGAGUAACGAGGGACCUCUGCAUGGGGAGUCUCUGACAGACUUAGUGAAACUUGUUUUCCAAAGAAAACAAGCUCAGAUUUGGCAUCGCAAUGCACAUGCUGGGUCUUUGGGAUGGAUUCUUGCUGAGAAAACUGAUUCUGAAAAGGUCACAUGAUUGAUAUAAAGAUGUAAAUAUCCAUCGUCCUCCUCUUUGGCGCUA